rnacentral:rRNA from 1 species
GACGAACCUCUGGUGUUCCGGUUGUCACGCCAGUGGCAUUGCCGGGUAGCUAUGUUCGGAAUAGAUAACCGCUGAAAGCAUCUAAGCGGGAAACUAGCCUCAAGAUGAGAUCUCACUGGAACCUUGAGUUCCCUGAAGGGCCGUCGAAGACUACGACGUUGAUAGGUUGGGUGUGUAAGCGCUGUGAGGCGUUGAGCUAACCAAUACUAAUUGCCCGUGAGGCU